AUCGAACGCUGGCGGCGUGGAUAAGACAUGCAAGUCGAACGGGACAGAACGAGUAGCAAUAUUUGGACUGUUCAGUGGCGAACGGUGGCGUAACACGUGGAUAACAUUUCGGAAAGCGGGGAAUAGCCCAGGGAAACUUGGAUUAAUACCGCAUGUGGCCGCCAGGGCAAAGACGGGGACCGCAAGGCCUGUCACUUUCCGAUUGGUCCGCGGCCUAUCAGCUAGUUGGCGGGGUAAUGGCCCACCAAGGGUACGACGGGUAGCUGGUCUUAGAGGACGACCAGCCACACUGGAACUGAGACACGGUCCAGACACCUACGGGUGGCAGCAGUCGAGAAGCUUUCACAAUGGGGCAACCCUGAUGGAGCGACGCCGCGUGGAGGAUAAGGUCUUCGGAUUGUAAACUCCUGUCAUGCGAGAACAAGGUAAUCAGGCUAAUAACCUGAUUGUUUGAUGGUACCGCAAGAGGAAGAGACGGCUAACUCUGUGCCAGCCGCCGCAGUAAAAC
rnacentral:rRNA from 1 species